rnacentral:rRNA from 1 species
CUACGGAGGGUGCAAGCGUUACUCGGAAUCACUGGGCGUAAAGCGCGCGCAGGCGGCUUGAUAAGUUGGAUGUGAAAGCCUACGGCUCAACCGUAGAACUGCGUCCAAAACUGUCAAGCUAGAGUCUGGGAGGGGAAGAUGGAAUUAGUUGUGUAGGGGUAAAAUCCGUAGAGAUAACUAGGAAUACCAAAAGCGAAGGCGAUCUUCUGGAACAGUACUGACGCUGAGGCGCGAAAGCGUGGGGAGCAAACAGGAUUAGAAACCCGGGUAGUCC